rnacentral:rRNA from 1 species
CCUACGGGAGGCAGCAGUGGGGAAUAUUGCGCAAUGGGCGAAAGCCUGACGCAGCGACGCCGCGUGAGGGAUGAAGGUCUUCGGAUCGUAAACCUCUGUCAGCAGGGAAGAACGGUCACUGUGCUAAUCAGCAGUGACUUGACGGUACCUGCAAAGGAAGCACCGGCUAACUCCGUGCCAGCAGCCGCGGUAAUACGGAGGGUGCAAGCGUUAAUCGGAAUUACUGGGCGUAAAGCGCUCGUAGGCGGUAUGUCAAGUAAAGGGUGAAAUCCCCGCGCUCAACGUGGGAACUGCCUUUGAAACUGGGAAACUGGAGUGUGUGAGAGGAUAGUGGAAUUCCAGGUGUAGGGGUGAAAUCCGUAGAUAUCUGGAGGAACAUCAGUGGCGAAGGCGACUAUCUGGCACAUAACUGACGCUGAGGAGCGAAAGCGUGGGUAGCAAACAGGAUUAGAUACCCUUGUAGUC